rnacentral:lncRNA from 1 species
AAUUCGGUGAGAUCUUGUCUCAAAUCAAAAUAAAAAGGGGGCUGUCAUGAAAAUCAGUGGCGGGGUUGGGGACUUAGCUCGGUGGCAGAGCGCUUGGCCCUGGGUUCGGUCCCCAGCUCCGAAAAGAAUUAAAAAAAAUGAUGCUCAGUGGCAGCUUACUGUCCUGUGGACCCGAUGAUGUCCAUCCCACUCCUGUAGGAAAGAGAAGUAAAAGGAAGGUCUGGUGCUAGGAAGCAAGUUUCCCAGACAAGGAUACAGGAGAGUAGGAAGAUGCUACUUAAGGUGGUACAAGUCCAGGGAAGCAGGACAUUGUCAGCCUAGAGCUGGGCGGGGCCAGGUCUCUGGUACCCCAAGAGCACUAACUAGGGAAGGACUAGCCUAGCAGAGGCUGCUUCUGGGAUUGGACCAAAGACAGCAAGCAUUCUCUAGAGCAACAAGGGCCUACUCACCGUGCAAUGCUCUGUAGACACCUUCAUAGGAUGGUUAUUUUAUUUUGGCGAAGCAGCUGGGUUUAAAUUCCAGGACCUGAUGGUUGUUACAUGGCUCCAAGCUACCUAUUCGCCAUCUCCAGGAAAUCAGACACCCUUUUCUAGUCUCCAAGUGAAACCUGGACUCACGUGCAUAGAAACAUGAUUAGGAAUUUUUUUCCCACAUCAGUUCUAGGCUAGCCAAGGCUAAUUUGAACUGGCUAAUCCAGCUGCCUGUGCCUAGCGCUAGGAUUAAAGGGAUUCACCACCACCCAGGUUGGUUAGUGGUUGGUUUUGCCUGCAUGUAUGGCUACCACAUAGGUGCCGAGAACUGGUCCUAAGUGCUGACAGUGGACUAGUAUGUGCACGAGCGCGCUCUCUCUUUCAACUCUUUUACGGAGCUGGGGACCGAACCCAGGGCCUUGCGCUUGCUAGGCAAGCGCUCUACCACUGAGCUAAAUCCCCAACCCCUCUCUUUCAACUCUUAACAGACAAGGUGGUGAGGCACAGUUAGGAUCCUAGCACUUGAUAGGCAGGUGGUCUUCUAGCCAGAGCUGGUUGUCAGCAUUUGUUGCUGGGACUGUCUUACUCUAGGGUCCUGGUAGUUUGCUCAGCUCGGCUAGUCUGAGAUCUCGUCUCAGCCCCUCGGGUGCUGGAGUUAGGCCUGUACCACAGCUGCCUAAGGAAAAUCCAGCUGGCCAAAUAGCCAGCUUUGUGCAGAAGGUAAAGUCUGGUGUCAUGAAUCUCACCUUUUAAAAGGAGUAUCAAAAUGAGAAUUUCCGCGGAAUUGCAUGGAGAUGUGACAUAGCUUCAAUGGGCAUUCCUGGCUAUGCUGCUGAGGGUUUGUAUCCUGACCAUUCCAGGUCUCUCGAGGAAUUGGCUUCCUGGUGUCCUAGCUAAUCUCCUCUGCACUGUUAACCCAGGUACUCUGUGGAUAUCCCCUUGGACAAAACUGUUGUCAACAAGGAUGUGUUCAGAGACCCAGCACUGAAACGCAAGGCCAGGCGGGAGGCCAAGGUCAAGUUUGAGGAGCGGUAAGUGUGUCCUGCUUUUGUUGAAUCCUGUCAAAGAAUUUGUUUUCCUGUUUAUUUUUUUUUCCUGUGUGUCACUUGUUUAUUUUUUCCUUUCUAGAUACAAGACAGGGAAGAACAAAUGGUUUUUCCAGAAGCUUCGCUUUUAGAUGUAUUUUUGUUUUCGUCAUUAAAAAAAUAAAAAAUAA